rnacentral:rRNA from 1 species
GACGAACGCUGGCGGCGUGCUUAACACAUGCAAGUCGAGCGGAAAGGCCCUUCGGGGUACUCGAGCGGCGAACGGGUGAGUCACACGUGAGUAACCUGCCCUAGGCUUUGGGAUAACCCCGGGAAACCGGGGCUAAUACCGGAUAUGACCUGGUGCCGCAUGGUGUUGGGUGGAAAGUUUUUUCGGCCUGGGAUGGGCUCGCGGCCUAUCAGCUUGUUGGUGGGGUGAUGGCCUACCAAGGCGAUGACGGGUAGCCGGCCUGAGAGGGCGACCGGCCACACUGGGACUGAGACACGGCCCAGACUCCUACGGGAGGCAGCAGUGGGGAAUAUUGCACAAUGGGCGGAAGCCUGAUGCAGCGACGCCGUGUGAGGGAUGAAGGCCUUCGGGUUGUAAACCUCUUUCAGCAGGGACGAAGCGUGAGUGACGGUACCUGCAGAAGAAGCGCCGGCCAACUACGUG